rnacentral:lncRNA from 1 species
UUCAAUCAAAUACUUCAGCCUGGUCGGUUCUUACUAAUAUUUAAGCCAGCUUCAAUUUUUAGUCUACUCAGUCAUUUUGGAUUACUUUCAGUUUUGGGUGCAUGUCUUUAAUAGAACAACAAACUGAUUUUAGCUGCUAAAAUAAACACUAAACGCUAAUUCCUCAUGGCAACUAUUUGUAGAAGACCAUCCCACUGGAGGAGAUCCUGACUAUCGAUGUCAAGCCAGGGUGGAAGAAGGGCACGAAGAUCACCUUCCGAGAUGGAAGGAUCUGAUUUUUCCUGUGCAGUUAUGUAUUUCAAAAACUUAUUGCGAUGUAAUUUUUAUAUUAACACUAUAGUCUAUGAAGUUCUAUUUACAGAUAUUUCAUUUUUCGCAUAAGACGAGGCACCGUUUUAUUUUAAAAUAUUUCAUGAAGUAAAAUUCGUGAAUAAACUGAAUGAUGUUUCAGAGGAUACGAAUGGUUGUGACUUGUAGGGUUGCCCGGGGAGGCGACUGCGGCGGG